rnacentral:rRNA from 1 species
GACGAACGCUGGCGGCGUGCCUAAUACAUGCAAGUUGAGCGCUGAAGGUUGGUACUUGUACCGACUGGAUGAGCAGCGAACGGGUGAGUAACGCGUGGGGAAUCUGCCUUUGAGCGGGGGACAACAUUUGGAAACGAAUGCUAAUACCGCAUAAAAACUUUAAACACAAGUUUUAAGUUUGAAAGAUGCAAUUGCAUCACUCAAAGAUGAUCCCGCGUUGUAUUAGCUAGUUGGUGAGGUAAAGGCUCACCAAGGCGAUGAUACAUAGCCGACCUGAGAGGGUUAUCGGCCACAUUGGGACUGAGAAACGGCCCAAAACCCUACGGGAGGCAGCAGUAGGGAAUCUUCGGCAAUGGACGAAAGUCUGAACGAGCAACGCCGGGGGAGUGAAGAAGGUUUUCGGAUCGUAAAACUCUGUUGGUAGAGAAGAACGUUGGUGAGAGUGGAAAGCUCAUCAAGUGACGGUAACUACCCAGAAAGGGACGGCUAACUACGUG